CGCGCGCACGUGUUAUAAAAAAAACAUAAAGUUGUGUGUGAAAAAUGUUUUAACAAAGUGUUUUGUGUGGUUCAUCUUUAUUGGAAUCCUGAACGAUGCAGACUGUUUUCCACUAAACACAAAGAAAUGGAACCCGGUAACCGAAAAAAACUACGGAUCUAGCUAGUGGAAGCCGCUUCAAAAGACAUCAAUAUUUUGUUAAUGACGUGCGGAAUAAUGAUUUAGGAACAAAUUCCGAUAUACCUAAUAGUCAGUGGAUUGGACAAUUAUCGCAAAUCCCAAAUAACGAUAUACUACGGCCGACAUUUGACGGUAGUUUAUUAGUCUCACCUCCAGCGGAGGAUGAGGAAGUUGAUUAAUUCAGCCAAUAUAAACAGAAGCAGUCCAGAGCGUGAUAGGCCGAGAUCAUCCUCUUAUCUACCCUUCUGCGGCGCGGCUCGGCGCGGCGUUUAACAGUAUUAUGUAACGUAUUGAUAUCAAGUACAAUUAUUGUAAUAUAUGUGUGUGUCUAGUCUUUGUGUGUUUUAUUGGUACAAUCAGCCCACGAAUGUAGCUGAACAAAUUAAAAAUUCCAAAACGCACAAACUGUUUAGUGGAGCUUAUGAAUGCAGUUUACUGGAACAAAUCAAUAUAAUUGUUCCUUACAAUUUUCCCAGACACCCACUAAACAAAAUUCAUCAGGGCCCUCCAUAUAGAUCGAAUCAAGGGCUCCAUUCACCGUUUAACCGGACAUGCGAUAGUUAUAGUAUGAUGUGCACUAAAUUAUCUGAUCUUGACAUAUUCUCCGAUUCCUUAAAAAUAUGCAAAAAUAAAAUGCUGACAUUGUUUUUCUCUCAAACCAUAGCCGAUGUGGACCAAGUAUAGAUUUUGUUAUUAAUAAUAUUUAUGGUAUGUUAGAAUUGAUGGUAUUAAAAUGGUAUUUGGUGGGUUUAAGAUAUGAUAUCCAGGUUCUUGGAAUUGGUUAUAUGUUGUUUUUUUUUUAAUAUUUUAUAUUAAUGUUUAAAUUUGUUAACCAUAUUACCUUGAUUAAAUAAGCGCUAAUUUCUAGUGUCAUACUAUUAUGACAGUCUGUUUGUAAUAAGUGUAUAUUUUAUGAAUGUUGGUACAUCUUUAUUUGGUAAGCACAUAAGAACAAUACAAUACUAAGAA
rnacentral:lncRNA from 1 species